AACGAACGCUGGCGGCGCGUCUUAAACAUGCAAGUCGAACGGCAGGAAGGGGCUUGCCCCUUCUGAGAGUGGCGGACUGGUGAGUAACACGUGGGUGACAUACCUUUUAGUUGGGGAUAGCUAUUAGAAAUAGUAGGUAAUACCGAAUGUGACCGUAUUUAUUAGAAGGAUACGAGGAAAGGAGCUAAGGCUUCGCUAAAAGAAUGGCUCGCGGCCCAUUAUGCUAGUUGGUGAGGUAACGGCCCACCAAGGCGAUGAUGGGUAUCCGGCCUGAGAGGGUGAACGGACACAUUGGGACUGAGAUACGGCCCAGACUUCUACGGGAGGCAGCAGUUAAGAAUAUUCCGCAAUGGACGCAAGUCUGACGGAGCGACGCCGCGUGGAUGAAGAAUGCCGAAAGGUUGUAAAAUCCUUUUAAGCCUGAUGAAUAAGCACAAUAGGGAAUGAUUGUGCGGUGACCGUAGGGCUUGAAUAAGCACCGGCUAAUUACGUGCCAGCAGCCGCGGUAACACGUAAGGUGCGAGCGUUGUUCGGAAUUAUUGGGCGUAAAGGGCAUGUAGGCGGAUAGGCAAGCUUGGUGUGAAAUGUUACAGCUUAACUGUGAGACAGCAUUGAGAACUGCCGAUCUUGAAUUACUGAAGGGUAACCAGAAUUCCACGUGUAGGGGUGAAAUCUGUAGAUAUGUGGAAGAAUACCAAUGGCGAAGGCAGGUUACCGGCAGAUAAUUGACGCUGAGGUGCGAAAGUGCGGGGAGCGAACAGG
rnacentral:rRNA from 1 species